AUAUUACUCCCUCCGUCCGGAAAUACUUGUCGGAGAAAUGCAUAAAAAUGGAUGUAUCUAGAACUAAAAUACGUCUAGAUACAUCCAUUCCCCCGACAAGUAUUUUCGGACGGAGGGAGUACUAA
rnacentral:pre_miRNA from 1 species